rnacentral:rRNA from 1 species
CGGGGGCCCGCACAAGCGGUGGAGCAUGUGGCUUAAUUCGAUGCAACGCGAAGAACCUUACCUGGGCUUGACAUGCUUGGUCAUACCUGCCUGAAAGGGCGGGGUCAGUUCGGCUGGACCUUGCACAGGUGCUGCAUGGCUGUCGUCAGCUCGUGUCGUGAGAUGUUGGUUUAAGUACCGCAACGAGCGCAACCCCUGUGUCCUGUUGCCACCCGGUUGUUUCCGGAGCACUCGAGACAGACUGCCUCAUUUGAAUGAGGAGGAAGGUGGGGAUGACGUCGGGUCAGUAUGGCCCUUACGCCCAGGGCUGCNCACGUGCUACAAUGCCUGGCACAAUGGGAAGCAAGACCGCGAGGUGGAGCAAAUCCCCAAAACCAGGCUCAGUUCGGAUUGGAGUCUGCAAUUCGACUCCAUGAAGUUGGAAUCGCUAGUAACGGCGCAUCAGCUACGGCGCCGUGAAUACGUUCCCGGGCCUUGUACACACCGCCCGUCACAUCAUGAAAGCCGGGAGCACCCGAAGUCUGCGAUUACGUGGCGGAAGGUGAAUUUGGUAAUUGGGAUGAAGUGGUA